GAUGAACGCUGGCGGCGUGCCUAAUACAUGCAAGUCGAGCGAACAGACGAGGAGCUUGCUCCUCUGACGUUAGCGGCGGACGGGUGAGUAACACGUGGAUAACCUACCUAUAAGACUGGGAUAACUUCGGGAAACCGGUGCUAAUACCGGAUAAUAUCUUGAACCGCAUGGUUCAAUAGUGAAAGACGGUUUUGCUGUCACUUAUAGAUGGAUCCGCGCCGCUUUAGCUAGUUGGUAAGGUAACGGCUUACCAAGGCAACGAUGAGUAGCCGACCUGGGAGGGGGACCGCCCAAACGGGAACUGAGACACGGUCCAAACUCCUACGGGAGGCAGCAGUAGGGAAUCUUCCGCAAUGGGCGAAAGCCUGACGGGGCAACGCCGCGUGAGUGAUGAAGGUCUUCGGAUCGUAAAACUCUGUUAUUAGGGAAGAACAAAUGUGUAAGUAACUAUGCACGUCUUGACGGUACCUAAUCAGAAAGCCACGGCUAACUACGUG
rnacentral:rRNA from 1 species